AUACGGAGGGGGCUAGCGUUGUUCGGAUUUACUGGGCGUAAAGCGCACGUAGGCGGUUUAUCAAGUUAGGCGUGAAAGCCCCGGGCUCAACCCGGGAACUGCGCUUAUUACUGAUAGACUAGAGAGCGGGAGAGGGUAGCGGAAUUCCCAGUGUAGAGGUGAAAUUCGUAGAUAUUGGGAAGAACACCAGUGGCGAAGGCGGCUCUCUGGUCCGGUACUGACGCUGAGGUGCGAAAGCGUGGGGAGCAAACAGGAUUAGAAACCCCAGUAGUCC
rnacentral:rRNA from 1 species